rnacentral:lncRNA from 1 species
AGUCGAAGAUCCAUCCAUUCGCGCACGAACAGCAACAUCUCGGUAGGGCAGAACAAACGGCAACGAGGGUGUAUCAUGCGGCGCAAUGCAACGAAGCGAACAUUCGCUCGCAUGCAGGUCCAAGUAGGCAGGCAGGCGCGGCCCCGUCGAUUGAUCCAGAGUUAUUGAAGAACCAGAACGCACAACAGGUAGUGCUACUACACAACCACACAACAACCCUCCACGCCACGCACCCACAACACGAUCAACCGGCAGCUAGCCUAGCAGCUGCAAACCGGCGCCGGCCAAACAUUUGACGAGGCGCAACGAACUAACGUACCAUCUCCGGGGACUCGCUCUCCCACGCCGCGCCAUGCGUCAGUCGGCACCGUAGCCGCCGCCGCCGCCGCCGGCGGCGGAUCCGCCUCCCGCGUCCCCGCCGCCCCCGCCGCCCCCGCCCCCGCCCCAGCUGCCGCUGUCACCGCCGCCGCCGCCGCCGGUGAGGUCCUUGAUGAUCUUCCUCUUGAUGUCGCCCCUUCUGGGGUACUGGUUCCCGUGGGGCUUCCUCGGCGGGUCGGCCCCGUCCAUGGCGUCACGUCGCGCCCACAGGAACGCUGGCGGGCGAGAAGAACCGCCGCCCCUGAGGCUGGGAGUGGUUUUGCGUGGGGUGGCAGCGUGAGUGAUAC